GACGAACGCUGGCGGCGUGCUUAACACAUGCAAGUCGAACGGGCCCGCUCUCUUUUUUGGGGGUGGGUUGAGUGGCGAACGGGUGAGUAUCACGUGAGUAACCUGCCCCCUGCUCCUGGAUAACUGCUUGAAAGGGCGGCUAAUACGGGGUGUGCCGGCUGGUCCGCAUGGGCCUGGUCUGGAUAGUUUCAUCUUCGGGUGUUUCGGUGGGGGAUGGGCUCGCGGCCUAUCAGCUUGUUGGUGGGGUGAUGGCCCACCAAGGCGGUGACGGGUAGCCGGCCUGAGAGGGUGGGCGGCCACACUGGGACUGAGACACGGCCCAGACUCCUGCGGGAGGCAGCAGUGGGGGGUAUUGCACAAUGGGCGGAAGCCUGAUGCAGCGACGUCGCGUGAGGGGUGGAGGCCUUCGGGUUGUGAACCUCUUUCUCCGGUGGUGAAGGCCCUGUCCGUUGCGGCGGGGUUGACGGUAGCCGGGUAUGAAGCGCCGGCUAACUACGUG
rnacentral:rRNA from 1 species